CCCGGAUGCUUGUUUGAACCCCAUGGUUCAAACAUAAAAGGUGGCUUCGGCUACCACUUACAGAUGGACCCGCGGCGCAUUAGCUAGUUGGUGAGGUAAUGGCUCACCAAGGCAACGAUGCGUAGCCGACCUGAGAGGGUGAUCGGCCCCCACUGGGACUGAGACCCGGCCCAGACUCCUACGGGAGGCAGCAGUAGGGAAUCUUCCGCAAUGGACGAAAGUCUGACGGAGCAACGCCGCGUGAGUGAUGAAGGUUUUCGGAUCGUAAAGCUCUGUUGUUAGGGAAGACCAAGUACCGUUCGAAUAGGGCGGCACCUUGACGGUACCUAACCAGAAAGCCACGGCUAACUACGUGCCAGCAGCCGCGGUAAUACGUAGGUGGCAAGCGUUGUCCGGAAUUAUUGGGCGUAAAGGGCUCGCAGGCGGUUCCUUAAGUCUGAUGUGAAAGCCCCCGGCUCAACCGGGGAGGGUCAUUGGAAACUGGGGAACUUGAGUGCAGAAGAGGAGAGUGGAAUUCCACGUGUAGCGGUGAAAUGCGUAGAGAUGUGGAGGAACACCAGUGGCGAAGGCGACUCUCUGGUCUGUAACUGACGCUGAGGAGCGAAAGCGUGGGGAGCGAACAGGAUUAGAUACCCUGGUAGUCCACGCCGUAAACGAUGAGUGCUAAGUGUUAGGGGGUUUCCGCCCCUUAGUGCUGCAGCUAACGCAUUAAGCACUCCGCCUGGGGAGUACGGUCGCAAGACUGAAACUCAAAGGAAUUGACGGGGGCCCGCACAAGCGGUGGAGCAUGUGGUUUAAUUCGAAGCAACGCGAAGAACCUUACCAGGUCUUGACAUCCUCUGACAAUCCUAGAGAUAGGACGUCCCCUUCGGGGGCAGAGUGACAGGUGGUGCAUGGUUGUCGUCAGCUCGUGUCGUGAGAUGUUGGGUUAAGUCCCGCAACGAGCGCAACCCUUGAUCUUAGUUGCCAGCAUUCAGUUGGGCACUCUAAGGUGACUGCCGGUGACAAACCGGAGGAAGGUGGGGAUGACGUCAAAUCAUCAUGCCCCUUAUGACCUGGGCUACACACGUGCUACAAUGGACAGAACAAAGGGCAGCGAAACCGCGAGGUUAAGCCAAUCCCACAAAUCUGUUCUCAGUUCGGAUCGCAGUCUGCAACUCGACUGCGUGAAGCUGGAAUCGCUAGUAAUCGCGGAUCAGCAUGCCGCGGUGGAAUACGUUCCCGGGCCUUGUACACACCGCCCGUCACACCACGAGAGUUUGUAACACCCGAAGUCGGUGAGGUAACCUUUAUGGAGCCAGCCGCCGAAGGUGGGACAGAUGAUUGGGGUGA
rnacentral:rRNA from 1 species